GAUAAACGCUGGCGGCGUGCAUAACACAUGCAAGUCGAACGAAGUGGCGAACGGGUGAGUAACACGGGAGAAACCUGCCUUAAACAAGGGGAUAGCCUAUGGAAACGAAGAAUAAUACCCUAUAGUGUAAGAUGGACUUGCGUCUGAUUAGCUAGUUGGUGAGAUAAAGGCCCACCCAGGCAACGAUCAGUAGCCGGCUUGGGAGAGUGGACGGGCACAUUUGGACGGAGACACGUCCCAAACUCUACGGGUGGCAGCAGUGGGGAAUUUUGCACAAUGGGGGAAACCCUGAUGCAGCGACGUCGCGUGAUUUAGAAGGCCGUCGGGUUGUAAAAAUCUUUUUUAUGGGAUGCAGUACCAUAAGAAUAAGGUCCGGCUAAAUACGUGCCAGCAGCCGCGGUAAUUC
rnacentral:rRNA from 1 species